GCCUGACGUACCCCAGUGACUUGUUUUUACGGCAGCUGCACAGUAGUCCAUGCACCGUCACAGUAACAACUCCUACACUGGGAAACUUGAGGUAAUUAGGGCACUAUUUAAUGAGUGCCAUGGCACAUAGCCUGUAGUCCUAAAGCUGCUUUAGCAGUGGCUAGGAUGUGGCUGUUUACUUGUUACCUUGACAUUUACAAAAAGAACACGAAGCAAACUGUCAGCCAUGACGCACGUGCAAAUCCCAGUGCUGAGGGAGCAACGUGACCCACUUACUGGCACAAAUUAUACCACAAAAAUGACCAGAGUACGUGCGUUGGGUUUGGGGUUUCCUCCACAAUAUCAUCUACAUUUCCUUUUUUACCCUGCUUGAACUCCAAUUAUUAAAUCGAGCAUUCUGUAUGAAAGAGGAAACACAGAGAACGAAACAGAGGCCAAAAAAAAAUGUGCUGAGCCGUUCAGAAGAAUAGGGAAGAUGUUGCCUGGAAAAUGUCCCAGCUCAGAAACUACCGACCUGCAAAGUUUUACAGCCCCCAGACCAUAUUCCGGAUUCCACAGCUGAAUUGCCAGAGGAGCAAAGAACUGGAAGAAACCAUACUACUCUCUAAAGAGAACAACUCAGAAGGCCAACAAGUGCAUUCUCUUCAUCUCCAGAAAGAAAGCUGGGCAACUCCUAUAAAGAGUACUCUACAGUUAUUUACUCCUCUGAAGGAUAUUCUGCAGUGAUCUACCAGUACUGACCAUAGAAAGCAGGGCUAACAAAUCCUUCCAUGAUACCACGUUGUUGUUGAUCACCUCCAUGCUGUUGCCAUGCCCUCAAUCUCACCAGCACGCAGACAGAGCUGCCCCACUCUGCUUCUGAGAGAAACAAAACCAAAGCAUCCCAAGCUAUUUCUAACUUGCACCUGAAAGGAAUCACAAAAGAAUAAAAGAAUAAAAGAAUAGCUUCUUUGUUUACUG
rnacentral:lncRNA from 1 species